rnacentral:rRNA from 1 species
UAGUGAGUUUGAUCCUGGCUCAGAACGAACGCUGGCGGCAUGCCUAACACAUGCAAGUCGAACGAGACCUUCGGGUCUAGUGGCGCACGGGUGCGUAACGCGUGGGAAUCUGCCCUUGGGUUCGGAAUAACAGUUAGAAAUGACUGCUAAUACCGGAUUAUGUCUUCGGACCAAAGAUUUUAUCGCCCAGGGAUGAGCCCGCGUCGGAUUAGCUAGUUGGUGGGGUAAACGGCCUACCAAGGCGACGAUCCGUAGCUGGUCUGAGAGGAUGAUCAGCCACAC